AUAAAAUGAAUUGGAAAAUAGCCUUGAAAUUGUCCACAAGGGUAGACCCACAGGUGUGUGUCUAGGCUGUGUGUGGUGCACAGUCCGCCCCCACAGCAUGUGUCUUGGCUGUGUGCCCCUAAAUAAAAGAUGAUGUCAUAAACAUAGAGUUAAACGGGCUGAGGACACGAACGUGUCCCAAGCCACACGGGCGUGUGUAACCACACAGCCUACUCCACUCCGGU
rnacentral:lncRNA from 1 species